UGGGUGGGGAUCCUCCGUUCACCUGUAUAUUACAGUCGGCACUGAACCAGCUCUUUAGUUGCGUGCUGACACCACGAGAGGUGGUUGCGCCGCCUCCGCUACACACAUUCACACACGCACACACACACACACGCACACACUCCACCGCUCCCUCGAGUCCCGCACACAACUCUCGUUCCAGCGCCGUGUAUCCUGAGGUGCUAAGGCUUCCUCCUUCUUCCUUCUGGUUUGCCAUCUUGGUGACGAAGGGUAGCAGAAGUGAACUUAUAAAUGAGCCCUGAUAACUGACCUUUGUAAGAAUGCCCGUGCGAGUUAACCCCAACAAGGCGGAGAGUCAGAUGACCCUGGCGAGCGCUCGAAGUGUCUCCGAUGAAAAGUAAGUUGGCGAGGGAAGGAGCAGGAGGAAGGCAGACAGUCAGACAGACGGACAGGUACGGCGCAGUUCCUUAUGCUCCUCGUGUCCGUACCUUCCUGUGUUGCGGGUGAGCCGUGCCGUGAUUACCUGCGAAGAUGCGGUAGUGACGUCACCGGGUAAUGAUGGGUUAAAAAGAAGGGGAUGGAAGGUCCUGGCCUCAUGGAAAAGACAGGGGCGCGCCCGUGGGCAGUGUGAGAAGAGCAAGGGAAGAGGAGGGAACGAUGAUGUACGAAACAAGGAUGCAUACAGAAACGUGCGCUAGUCGAAGGAAGGCCACGGGUUAUAUGUUACUGUUGGCAUGAGGGAUAAACAGGAAAGGGAGGGAAGAAGGGAAGAGAAGAAAACAAGGACGUAUACAGAGACACGCCGAAGGAAGGUCACGUGUUAGUGCUGUUGGCAUGUGAGGUGGACAUUAAAGAACGAAAGGAUUUUGGCUACACUGCUUAACCUUCAGAUCCUCUUCCUUGACUUUUACAUAGCUAGGUGUCUUUCCCCCAUAAUAGUGACAUUUUAGAUACUUCCUUGUAUUACAGUCUCUUGAAUGCUUUUGCAGCCUAUAAGAGACAAGGUUGACCGCGUGUGUGUGUGUGUGUGUGUGU